GAAAAAGGCAGCUCUAUUUUAUCCAGAAUCAUCUCUCUGCUCUGUAAGAUGCUGCUAUGUGUGCACGCACCACUGAACCCACCUUGCCUGCAAAUCCCUCCCUCCCCUCCCUCCCUGCACCAUCUGUCUGUCUUCCAGCCUCUCAGACCAGUCACCACUGUCUGCUGUCCCUGUUUCCCCCUCCAUCACCAUGCUGGACAUAUUCAUUCUCAUGUUUUUUGCCAUUAUAGGCCUGGUUGUUUUAUCUUACAUCAUCUACAUGCUGUAGAAUCUCCAGCCGUGCCACUGGCCACCCGCAGCCUAUGGAGGACAGCCAAGCAGAGAGGCAGUGGUGAUUUCCAUUCAACGCAGUUCUCUCGGCAAUAUUGCAGAUGUGAGACCCCACCCUGGAGCAGAUCCAUGUUUACUUCUCAGCAGCAUGGUCUCUGAGAGCUAUUCCAGAGUGUUCUGGAGAAAGGUUAACCCUUUGCAAAACUGACAGAGAGAAGAAUGAUUCAGCAGAAGGUCUGAAGAUGCAUCCCAAGCUAUCAAAAGAAUGAGUUGGAAAUGCUUAGGAAGAACCAAGUGGAAAAGAAUGGGAUGGAAAAAACCAGAAUGGAAGGACUUUAAGGGGGGAAAUACUAUUACCUCUGCCAUCCUCAUGUUCAGAGUUUAAAAGUUUAUUUUCUAUAUGCCAUCUUUCAAACAGGGAAAACAGUAUUUUAUCUGAUUUUAAGUUCCACAAUAUAUAUUUGUAAGUAAUGAGGUGGGUUUUUUUACAAGAUCAAAGAAUGGUGACGUUCAAAUGGAGGGGGAUGUGUGCGCACACACCCCUCCCCCAAAUCCAACCACAUGUAAUUUAAUGUUUGCCACACUAACGUUCAAAUACAGGCAAUACAGUCUUUGUGCACAAAUGGAUUUCUGCAUGUAGAUCAGUUGUACCCUGCUGGAAGUUGGAAAUAAUGUUCAGCAACUUGGUAAUGAUUCAAAACAUCACGUGCUAGACCAUAUGUAUUUAAAUGUGGACGCUUGUGUGCUGGCCACUGUGUAUCUGAAGGUACAGCUUUGUGCUACUACUUGUUCUCUGGAUCAAAAUAUUUAUUUUUGUUAUUUUUAAAAUAUCAUUUUCCAGAAACAAUAUUUUUGUAUAUGGCUGCCCCUCUCCUUAGCUUCUAAAUUGAACAACUUAUCCAUAGAGCCCAAAAUGCUUCCUGUAAAACAGAUUCCUUUUGAUUGACAUGAAACCUAGGGUUAAAUUUUCACCAAACUGAAGAAUGUUAAAUUUCUACCAAAUCUAGUGGAAUGCAAAAUGCAAGUGUGGACUGACAGCUGCUGAGAGGCCUUUCUUUGGAGGAAAUUGUUUAUAUGAUGAUGGGAUCUGGAUGAGCCCAAUUCCUGAAACAGAUAAGAUAGUGCAAUUACUAAUCCAAGAGACAAAGAAAAAAAAUUUCCCUCAAAAAACCAUUGGUUCUUGGAAAAUUUGAAAUGUGGGAAUAGUUUAUUUAAUGUGAAUAAACUUCAAGGUACUUUGCUUUCUUGAGUAUGUAUUAAAAAAACAUAUUAAGGGUAUUCACACAACCAGGGGCAUAGCUAGGGGAGAGGGGGCCCGUGUUCAUCCCUCUCUCUGGUGGCCCCCCCAGAGUGAGGGAGAUAACAGAUAAAAUAGGGAGGAGUGGAGCUAGAGGGCCCUCAGGAGCUGGGGGCCCGUGUUCUUUGAACCCUUUCACUCAAUUAUAGCUACGCCCCUGCACACAACGGCACGAGUGGGGGGAAGGCAGUUCCAAACGUACCUUCUCCCCCAGACAACAGCGAAAACACUGCUGGGAGCACGAACUAUGCUCCCAGACGAUCUGUGCUGCAUCAAGCAGUGUAGAUCUCACAUGCUCCAGGAAUCCUUUCCUGACCUGUGCCAAGCGUGGUGCAUUGGAGAAUUCCCCCAUCAGAUGGGCACUCCAGGUGGCCAUCUCUCUGCGUGCAGCCCAAGGAGACACACAAUCCCUGCAGCCGGGUUAAGGGAGCGAUUGCUCCCUUUAACCUCGGCUAAGAGCUGGGCUUAAAAGUAAGGUUUGGCUGGUCGGGAGCACCAGAAUCUGCGUGGAUCCCAUUGUGUUUUGGAGGGUGUCUUUAAACAAGGGAUAAUACUUUUUUUAAAAAAAGGAAUAGCCAAAACUUGCAUAAGAAUUGCCCCAAGAUACUAGUACCAGAAUUAGGUAGUUGUUCCUCAAAAGGGUAGAAGCUAUGCAUGAACUUUUGGCCAGGCACUCUUCUACCUCAGAGGCGAGGAGUUGGGUGAAAGGGUUCAAAGGUUGCAUUCCUGAGAAUGGGAGUAGGGUUCUGCAACUCCACUGCAACAGUCCAGAGAUGGAUUUUAAAAUGGUGGAGUAAGGCUCACCAAGUCCAAAUACUGGUAAGAUAUCAGAUGGGCAAAAGAAGGUUUAAACAAGCAAUUUUAGCUAUGUGGUCUUUCAUAAUGACAGGGCAUCAAAACCUUGCUGUUUGGUGAUACAAGGAGGCAGAUUAAAUAGUAAUUAGAUUGUUCAUUUAUGUCUUUAUUUAUUAAAUUAUAUACGUCUUUCCAACAAAAUUCACAAUGCAGCGUACAUAGCGAACAAAUAAGAAAAUGGUUCCCUGUUCCAAAUGGGCUUAGUCUAAAAAGACAAACAAGGGACACACAAUUAACAGCCACUAGCAGGGUUGCUGUGGUGGUUGAAUAGGAAGAGAGAGUUGUUCCCCAACACCCUGCCGCUAAAGACGAGAGCCACAUACCAUCCCUUUAAAAACCUGCUCUUUUGUCCAGUUAGCAUGGCCUUUUCAUGUGAUCAAGACAACAAACAGUGAGGAGUUGUUGUUGUUUUAAAGUACACACUGAAUUGCUACCUCUCUACCUGUUGGAAAUCAUUCGGUGCCAUAAAUCCUCAUCCCCCCAGCUCACAUCUACAAGUCUGCUGGGCUACAGUAGGUAGAAUUAAAUCAUAGAGAUACCAGUUUUCAGAAAGGUGUCAACAGAUUUGUUGAACAGAAAGCCCUUUUAUAUAUUAAUUAACAUGUGAUGUUGUACAUUCAACCUUCCAAUGUGAGCUUUUAGCCUGUAGCUCUUCUCCCUAAGAAAUGUGGAGAGCUGUUGGGAAGGGAAGCAUUUCCUCACAUGGCAGAAACAGGGAGACUUAUCAGCUCCAUUUACAGGAUAUUUGGGUGAAACAAUGCCUCUCUAACACAUACUUAUUAUACUCUAUGAAUACGACAAAUAUUUGUAUACUGCUUUUCAACAAAAGUUCCCAAAGAGGUUUACAUAGAUAUAAAUCAAUAAAUAAAAUGGCUCCCUGUCCCCAAAGGACUCACAAUCUAAAAAAUAAACAUAAGAGAGACCCCUGCAACAGCCACUGGAGGGAUGCUGUGCUGGGGUUGGGCAAGGCCAUUUGCUCUCUCCCUGCUAAAUGAAGAGAAUCAUCACUUUUAAAAGGUGCUUUUCUGCACAGUUAGCAGGGGUUAUCUUAUCUCCUAUUUCUGUAAUCCGAAGGAGCCACUAAUACCACCAACAAGAUAGCUUUGAUAGCAGCACCUAUCUUCUAGUUUGCAGAAUCAGCCCAUACUGAAUCCUGUAUGAAUGCUAUGUUUUGUGUUCUGAAUAUUAAUUUUGUUGUGCUUAAAUUUGCAACAUCUUUCAAUGACUGGUUGGUACAAUAAAAACAUUCCCAUUCCUAUUA